GAUGACCAGGCCUUGCCCCAUGGGUUCAGCACCUCCACCUGGGAUCGGAGCAGGCGUUCUGUCCAGCAGGAGGACCUGGGCCCCUUCUCAGACGCCAGUCCCAGCGCCCACCUUCCGGGGCCGGGGACUCCUGGAGCAGCUGAGGAAGAAGGGCCAGAGCCUGGCAGGCCGGGGCCACAGCCCAGGACAGGAGCCACUCUUGUUCGGAUGCUCUUCUGACCCCUAGACAGCGCCUCGCCCAAAGCUGAACCUACUACAGGCACAGCCCAGAGAUCACCUACAAGACCCUUUGCUGCCACCUGCUGGAGAACUCUCAGAAUAAAUAUCCACUUUUGCCACCAAUUGUUGGAGGCCGUGAAGCCAUAACCGAGAUGCGUUACAGUGGAAAUGAGAGGCACUCCUCUGAAUCAGGAAGGUGCCGGUGCCUCCUUAGAGCGGGUGUUCUCGCGGUCAGGGAGCCCGUAAGUCUCCCCGCUCCUGCUGCCUGGCCUGGACCAAUCGUGAAGAAAGAAAGAGUCGGACCGUGGAGGACCAGGCGGCGGGCGUGAAACGAGCACCCAGACGUAGACCCCGCCACGCCCUGGUUCCCUGGCGGGCCGCGAAGGCUGUCCGAGGGUGGCAAGCGCCGCCGGCCCAGAGAGGGUCAGGGCAAACCCGUGUUUGCACCGUCUCUGUCCAGUGGCCUCAGGUCAGGCCAUCGGAGAAGCCCCUGUCCUCCCCAGGAUGGUGGGGGGAGGCGCAUUUCCCAGCCUCUGCCCUCCUUUUCACCUUGGCCGUGGUCGCUCAGGGUGUGG